rnacentral:rRNA from 1 species
AGCAGCCGCGGUAAUUCCAGCUCCAAUAGCGUAUAUUAAAGUUGUUGCAGUUAAAAAGCUCGUAGUUGAAUUUCGGGAUCAAUACGUUGGCCGUGCUUUCGGGUACGUACUGGCGUCAUUGGUUUCUCUCUUCUGACGAACCAUGAUGUCAUUAGUUUGGUGUUAUGGGGAGUUAGGACUGUUACUUUGAAAAAAUUAGAGUGUUUAAAGCAGGCUCACGCUUGAAUACAUUAGCAUGGAAUAAUGAAAUAGGACGUAUGAUCCUAUUUUGUUGGUUUCUAGGAUUGACGUAAUGAUUAAUAGGGAUAGUUGGGGGCAUUAGUAUUCAAUUGUCAGAGGUGAAAUUCUUGGAUUUAUUGAAGACUAACUACUGCGAAAGCAUUUGCCAAGGAUGUUUUCAUUAAUCAAAGAACGAAAGUUAGGGGAUCGAAGACGAUCAGAUACCGUCGUAGUCUUAACCAUAAACUAUGCCGACUAGGGAUCGGAUGAUGUUAAUUUUUUAAUGACUCAUUCGGCGCCU